rnacentral:tRNA from 1 species
UGGGGUGUAGCUCAGUGGUAGAGCUCUUACCUAGCAUGUGCAAGGUCCUGGGUUCCAUCCCCAACACCACAA